AUUUUUUUUCCAAAUUUUGAAGGCAAAACAUCUAUCGAAAUCUUUAUUUUUUUCUUUCACGACAUUUUAUAUCAUAAAUGGUAAAAACAAGCCGAAUAAAAAAAAAUUAAAAAAUGUUAAUUUUUCACCUAGAUAUGUCCAAAAAUAGGGGUUGUAAAUAAUUACCAUUUUUUUUCUUUCAGAUUGUAAUGAAACAUUAGUCUAAUUACUUAGGGAUCAAACCUGUCAAUAGAAAACCGAAACACGUUUAGUCUGCAUUAUAUAAGUGACAUCGUGAGCUUUUACAAGGUCCAAGGAGGCGGUCCCUAAGCUCGGUUGAAUGCAUUUACACUGGGGAUAAGUAAAGCUACACAUGUGCUUCAGGGUUUUACUCACACGUUGAUCCAUAUAAUAUAUGUACAUAUGUUUACAGAUCCGGGAAGUAAAGUAAGAGGGAUGAUACCGUAUAUACAGGAAUAAAAUGUAGGUACCCGUGCAAGGGAAAGUAACCAGUCUACAGUGGCUGAGAGAAGCUGGAUGAGUGGAGGGUGUACAUCCUAUAUAUACGUGUAGGGAAUUAUUGAAGAUCUGUAUAAGAGAAACGGAAGAAACAAUAUUUUUCCCGCGAGAAUUAUUCAGAUAAAAUACCGGCUCGAGAUUCAUGAACGCUUGGUACACAGUAUACUCUGAGGCAUCGAUGACAACCUCGCGUAAAUGGAACUAAUUACAGUGAUCACAACGACGUCCGGAUGCAUAUAUAAUUUGACAUUCAUCACACACAGACAUUGGUAUCAAUGUAGGUGCAGAAGUAUACAUAUACAAGAUAGACGUGCAACAACUGCAUACUUGUUAUACAUAUACAUGUUCGUGUGUCUCGAUGCAUUGUUGAUGGGAAAAGAAAAGAAAGAAUGGAAAAAAAAAACUGAAUCCUCGGGAUGUGCCUUUGUGCAUCCCCGACAAUUGUUAAACUCUUUUUUCAGUAGGGAGAAUAAUAUCGUUUUCUCGUUAAUUAGGGUGCUAAUUACCAGCAAUUAAUCAUUGCUACUCCUUUAUUUCGAUUUUUACAUUCAUACAGUCAAUAUGAUAACCAAUCAAUGGAAUUAUCGGGGUAUCUUUAUGCAUAAUGCAGACAUCAAUUUUUAAUUAAAAUUUAUUAAUCGGUCGAUCUUAAGGGAGGUUAAGCGAAUUAAUGAAAGGUAUUAGAAGGUCUUAAAUGGAGAUACAAGAGAGAUUUUACGAUGAGGGAUGGUAACGGAUGAAGGUUGCCGUGAAAAGCCAAUAGCGGUUUUAGCAGUAGCUUUCGGCGAUGCCAUAGAAAACGGAUAGGAUAGACGGUGGUUUUGGUCGUUGCGGCAUCUUCGGGAGAGAUAAUAUUUUAUAUCAAAAUUGUUUAUGAAUCACUCAAUUUUGACUACAACGACUAAUAAAAAAUCAUAUAAGCAAACAUCAUCAAGCAAUUAUAUCUAGAGGGUUGUUAAAAAACCACAAUCAAGUCAACAAGUCACAUAAAACGUGAUGACGCGUGUCUACAAUACACAUGUCAGGCGUCCUACGGUGGCAAGCACGCUUUAAAAGACCCCAUGGGACUAAAAAUAAAUAAAAUUGUCGAGCUUAAAUGGAUUUGUGAUUUACUAAAAAUAUCAACACCUUAAAUCUUGACAAUUGAAAAAAAAAUAGCAGACAAAUGACCUGGAAUAAAUUAAAGGCAUUGUAGAGAUGAUGAAGAGUCGAUGAGAACUUUAAAUAAAGGCAUCGGACGUCUGAAAAACUCAGAUGGAUGGAAGACGAGUAUUAAGAGGAGGGAAAACAAGGU